rnacentral:misc_RNA from 1 species
GAACAGUUAAUCUCAAGUAUUCCACUGCAAAGAAAUAAGACAAAUUAUAUGACUACAAGAGCAUAACACAAAUUAUAUCACCCUCAUGUGGCCUGUGCACAUACAGAAUUAAUAAUCAUAGACACCAGUUAAAAGGCAACUCUACACAAGAGUGCUACUUCUAGCCUUGUAAUAUAAAUUAAAAAAAAAAUUGCAGCCAUUCAACUUAGCUUCUACUGAUUCGUGAUGUUAUCGACCUCUAUUCUAAUUAUGUGCUUGGGCCCCUAAUUUCCAAAAGGCACAGAUAACCAACAACAAAAUAAAGAAUGUGCUUAUUUUAACGUCUAAUGAAGAAUGUGCUUAUUUUAACGUCUAAUG